rnacentral:rRNA from 1 species
GAUGAACGCUGGCGGCGUGCCUAAUACAUGCAAGUCGAGCGAACAGAUGAGGAGCUUGCUCCUCUGACGUUAGCGGCGGACGGGUGAGUAACACGUGGAUAACCUACCUAUAAGACUGGGAUAACUUCGGGAAACCGGAGCUAAUACCGGAUAAUAUAUUGAACCGCAUGGUUCAAUAGUGAAAGACGGUUUUGCUGUCACUUAUAGAUGGAUCCGCGCCGCAUUAGCUAGUUGGUAAGGUAACGGCUUACCAAGGCAACGAUGCGUAGCCGACCUGAGCGGGUGAUCGGCCACACUGGAACUGAGACACGGUCCAGACUCCUACGGGAGGCAGCAGUAGGGAAUCUUCCGCAAUGGGCGAAAGCCUGACGGAGCAACGCCGCGUGAGUGAUGAAGGUCUUCGGAUCGUAAAACUCUGUUAUUAGGGGAGAACAAAUGUGUAAGUAACUAUGCACGUAUUGACGGUACCUAAUCAGAAAGCCACGGCUAACUACGUG